rnacentral:rRNA from 1 species
UCCCGGAUGUUAGCGGCGGACGGGUGAGUAACACGUGGGUAACCUGCCUGUAAGACUGGGAUAACUCCGGGAAACCGGAGCUAAUACCGGAUAGUUCCUUGAACCGCAUGGUUCAAGGAUGAAAGACGGUUUCGGCUGUCACUUACAGAUGGACCCGCGGCGCAUUAGCUAGUUGGUGGGGUAAUGGCUCACCAAGGCGACGAUGCGUAGCCGACCUGAGAGGGUGAUCGGCCACACUGGGACUGAGACACGGCCCAGACUCCUACGGGAGGCAGCAGUAGGGAAUCUUCCGCAAUGGACGAAAGUCUGACGGAGCAACGCCGCGUGAGUGAUGAAGGUUUUCGGAUCGUAAAGCUCUGUUGUUAGGGAAGAACAAGUGCGAGAGUAACUGCUCGCACCUUGACGGUACCUAACCAGAAAGCCACGGCUAACUACGUGCCAGCAGCCGCGGUAAUACGUAGGUGGCAAGCGUUGUCCGGAAUUAUUGGGCGUAAAGGGCUCGCAGGCGGUUUCUUAAGUCUGAUGUGAAAGCCCCCGGCUCAACCGGGGAGGGUCAUUGGAAACUGGGAAACUUGAGUGCAGAAGAGGAGAGUGGAAUUCCACGUGUAGCGGUGAAAUGCGUAGAGAUGUGGAGGAACACCAGUGGCGAAGGCGACUCUCUGGUCUGUAACUGACGCUGAGGAGCGAAAGCGUGGGGAGCGAACAGGAUUAGAUACCCUGGUAGUCCACGCCGUAAACGAUGAGUGCUAAGUGUUAGGGGGUUUCCGCCCCUUAGUGCUGCAGCUAACGCAUUAAGCACUCCGCCUGGGGAGUACGGUCGCAAGACUGAAACUCAAAGGAAUUGACGGGGGCCCGCACAAGCGGUGGAGCAUGUGGUUUAAUUCG